AGUGAACGCUGGCGGUAGGCCUAACACAUGCAAGUCGAACGGCAGCACAGUAAGAGCUUGUUCUUACGGGUGGCGAGUGGCGGACGGGUGAGGAAUACAUCGGAAUCUACUUUUUCGUGGGGGAUAACGUAGGGAAACUUACGCUAAUACCGCAUACGACCUACGGGUGAAAGCAGGGGAUCUUCGGACCUCGCGCGAUUGAAUGAGCCGAUGUCGGAUUAGCUAGUUGGCGGGGUAAAGGCCCACCAAGGCGACGAUCCGUAGCUGGUCUGAGAGGAUGAUCAGCCACACUGGAACUGAGACACGGUCCAGACUCCUACGGGAGGCAGCAGUGGGGAAUAUUGGACAAUGGGCGCAAGCCUGAUCCAGCCAUGCCGCGUGGGUGAAGAAGGCCUUCGGGUUGUAAAGCCCUUUUGUUGGGAAAGAAAAGCAGCAGGUUAAUACCCCGCUGUUCUGACGGUACCCAGAGAAUAAGCACCGGCUAACUUCGUG
rnacentral:rRNA from 1 species